rnacentral:rRNA from 1 species
UACGGGGGGGGCAAGCGUUGUUCGGAAUUACUGGGCGUAAAGGGCUCGUAGGCGGCCAACUAAGUCAGACGUGAAAUCCCUCGGCUUAACCGGGGAACUGCGUCUGAUACUGGUUGGCUUGAGUGUGGGAGAGGGAUGCGGAAUUCCAGGUGUAGCGGUGAAAUGCGUAGAGAUCGGGAGGAACACCAGAGGCGAAGGCGGCGACCUGGACAAGUACUGACACUCAACUGCGAAAGCGUGGGGAGCAAACAGG